CUACGUGCCAGCAGCCGCGGUAAUACGGAGGAUGCGAGCGUUAUCCGGAUUUAUUGGGUUUAAAGGGUGCGUAGGUUGUUCGGUAAGUCAGCGGUGAAACCUGAGCGCUCAACGUUCAGCCUGCCGUUGAAACUGCCGGGCUUGAGUUCAGUGGCGGCAGGCGGAAUUCGUGGUGUAGCGGUGAAAUGCAUAGAUAUCACGAGGAACUCCGAUUGCGAAGGCAGCUUGCCAUACCGCGACUGGCACUGAAGCACGAAGGCGUGGGUAUCAAACAGGAUUAGAUACCCUGGUAGUCCACGCAGUAAACGAUGAUUACUAGGAGUUUGCGAUAUACCGUCAAGCUUCCACAGCGAAAGCGUUAAGUAAUCCACCUGGGGAGUACGCCGGCAACGGUGAAACUCAAAGGAAUUGACGGGGGCCCGCACAAGCGGAGGAACAUGUGGUUUAAUUCGAUGAUACGCGAGGAACCUUACCCGGGAUUGAA
rnacentral:rRNA from 1 species